rnacentral:rRNA from 1 species
GUAGGUGGCAAGCGUUGUCCGGAAUUAUUGGGCGUAAAGCGCGCGCAGGCGGUUCUUUAAGUCUGAUGUGAAAGCCCACGGCUCAACCGUGGAGGGUCAUUGGAAACUGGAGAACUUGAGUACAGAAGAGGAAAGCGGAAUUCCACGUGUAGCGGUGAAAUGCGUAGAGAUGUGGAGGAACACCAGUGGCGAAGGCGGCUUUCUGGUCUGUAACUGGCGCUGAGGCGCGAAAGCGUGGGGGAGCAAACAGGAUUAGAUACCCUGGUAGUCCACGCCGUAAACGAUGAGUGCUAAGUGUUAGGGGGUUUCCGCCCCUUAGUGCUGCAGCUAACGCAUUAAGCACUCCGCCUGGGAGUACGGCCGCAAGGCUG